GGAAGGCCUGCCACCAGGAAUGUGACCUUCACAGGGAGUCUCCAACAACCCUGGGAGCAGCGCCUCGUCAUCUGCAUUGGUCGGGGGUGGCUGGCUCUGGGCUAGCCGCCCUCCAACCCCACGCCUUCCACAGCUCCAGCUACAACAGCAGGGAUCAUUCCUGGAGGCCCUGCUGUGAAAUACGGCUUUUCAGACCACAGGCCCAGUGGGGAGCGUCCGGCCACACCCCCACCUGGAUCCCAGGGGGCCUUUCUCAGCCGAGCCGUCUGCCCCGAUGCUGCCUCACACCCCCAGAGUCCAGGCAGACAGAUUAAGAGUUGCCUUUCCGAAAACCUGCCAAGUCACGCAGCCAGGGCAUGGGCAAAGAAGAAACCGUGACCUGACACGACCUCGGAAGUAAAGGUCCUCCUCCCCAUGGAACCCAAGGACCCGGACACAACGAACCUGAAAGUUGGACUCUCAUCCGAAACGAGGGGCCCCUCAUUCAGGAAGAUCCGGUGUGAAAAUCCCUUCUCCACCCCAUCAUAAAUGUUUAGAACUUUACCACACAUGCUUGAAGUCCACCAGUCAAAGCCUGCCCCGCCAGCGCGUCUGCGUCCAGCCUGUGCUCCCCAACCUCUUCUAUUUCACCCCAAAUCCUGAAUCGGGAGACAGAUCUGGGGGCACACCUCCCGUCUCCCUGCAGACCCGUCUCUCCUGAUAAAAGCCGAUUUC